GACAGCAUGCGCAGUGGUUGGAGUGCUGGACUGUGACUCUGGAGACCGGGGUUCGAAUCUCCACUCGGCCA